CAACUCUGGUUUCUCUUCAGAUCACUUAAAUCUUUCGCCUUUUACUGAAGAUUUCUGUGGAGAGGAACAAUUCUUGUUGUAAACAUUUGCCACCUGGAAGAAAGACUCGGA